rnacentral:tRNA from 1 species
GCCUGGGUGGCUUAGUGGGUUAAGCAUCUGACUUGAGCUCAGAUCAUGAUCUCACAGUUUGUGAGUUUGAACCCCUCAUCAGGCU